rnacentral:rRNA from 1 species
GCGGAAGAGAUAAGUGCUGAAAGCAUCUAAGCACGAAACUUGCCCCGAGAUGAGUUCUCCCUGACUCCUUGAGAGUCCUGAAGGAACGUUGAAGACGACGACGUUGAUAGGCCGGGUGUGUAAGCGCAGCGAUGCGUUGAGCUAACCGGUACUAAUGAACCGUGAGGCUUAACCUUACAACGCCGAAG